CCGCUGGUGGCGACGUCUCUCUUGAAGUGGGAGGAGGUCUAGUUGGGACAGCAUCUCUGUGACUGCACCAUCAUGUCAAUUACACAGCUCAGAAAUAAUUUAUUCAUUUGUUUUGUUUAGGCCUGAAAAAAAUACAUUUGGCUCGGGUUACCCGACCCUACGUACGGUAUAGGCGCCGACCCUACCGUUUUUAUAGUCAGUAAAAAAAAAUGAAAACUGAUGUGCGUUCAUAGUGUAACGGUCCGCAGUAGGGGGCGGAUGUGCGUUCAUAAUAAUAUUCCGUAUAAAACGGAAGUACGUUCGGUAUACGUAUGUAAACUUGGUUGGUAAUAUGCAAAUUAGCAAAACCCGGUAUCUGUUAGAAUAGAGAAGUUAGUGUAUAUAAAGACCAGUGGACCCCUUCAGGGUCGAUCAUGCUUUUCUCUGAAGGGAUCUGUUGGUGUUUCAUUGGCGUCGCACGUUACAGUAGUUUAAAACCUUAAAUGCUUAUACAGAAGAUAACUUUAACACCAUUCUCGAAUGAUGAAAAUGACAUUCCUAUAUAAAGCCUAAUAAAAUAAAUAAAUAAAAAAAGAUAAAUACCCUACCUAUUUUUUAAAAGAAUGUAACCCUUACCAAACAAUUAUUUUUUUUUAGGCCUUAUUGCCCACCAAAGGAAGCAACACUUUCAAAUAAUUCAGUUCUUUUCCAAAAACUCAAAAAAGCUAUUACAGGUCAAGAUCGCUUUUUUGGGAGAUUUCAAUUAUGAUCAAAAUGAAAGGGCUUCUAUUGCACACUUAUAUCAUACCAAUUUCAAUCUACGCCAGUUAAUAGAUUCAGUUACAACUGAUUAUGGCUCAUAUUAAUACCAUAUAUACACAAACUUGGAUUCAACUUGUUUAAGAUCUUACGGCACUCUAAAAUCAUAUUUCUCUGAUUACAUACCAUUGUACCUGUACUGAAAGUAGACUAAAUUUUAGUUAAAUGCUAUAAUAUGAUUGACAGUAAGUUACGAACUAUGCUUCUUGACUGAAAAAGUGCUCACAAAGGUAACAAUGCACCUGCCUGACUAAUAUAAUAACUAGGUGUUUACACAAUACCACAUUAAGAAGUCAGAGAUGCGAUUAAAUAAUAAAUUGAUUUUUUUUUAAAAAUAAAUAAAAUUUCUCACUAGCUAGUUGUUAUAAUGCCAAGGAUACGUUGUAUAUAUAUAAACACUUACUAUUGUAAAGAAUUUUAAAAUUUAGACGUCUUUUUAAAAUGUAGGCUGAGCCUAAAAUGUUUGUAUAGGAAAAAAUAUAGCAUAAUUUCUAUGAUGUAUUUGAAGUGUUUGAUUUUAAUGCGUAUGUGAUAGAUUCUUAAGACAUUAUUUAAAUAUUGAAUUUUUAACCAGAGAUUUGUACAUACUGUGUAAGUCAAGUUAAAUACUUACACCAGUCCAUUGACUCAGAAAAUAUAGUGACAUUAUGCUAUCCAGGAUACAAAAUCAAAGACUUUAUGGACCUGGAUAUUGUGUUUGACUUGAUACAAUCGGUGUCGGUGGUGGUUGUUAUGGCGGGUGCCAAUGACAUACCGAGGUCUGGCCUUGAAGAUGUCCUGUCGGAUUUACAGGAGCUGUGCGAGAAAGUACAUGCGACUAACCCCACGGCCACGGUUGUUGUAUCUGGUAUAUUACCGAGGGCACAGAGCAGUCUCGAAGGGAGGCGAUUGUCCCAGAGCUUCCUGCGAGCAUUUAACAACACGGCCGAAAUAAAUGUAUUGAUUCCAGACAUAAUGAAACAGAAUCAUAGUAUCGAUUGUGGACUAUAUGUCAUUGCUUUUAUAACAUCUUACUGUGUUCGUAAAAUGUUAUGUUUCCAAUUAAUAUUCGAUUCAAACAAGUUACGAUCUCAUCUACUCCAAUGUUUAGAAAACGAAGAUAUAACCGAAUUUCCGUUGACAAGUAAAACCAUCAGUCUGCGGAAAAAGAAAAGCGCCAAAUAUAUAAAUAUAAAAACUUAUUGCAUUUGUAACCUUCCAGAAUGUUUUGAUGAUAUGGUUCAAUGCGACGACUGCAACAAAUGGUACCAUAAAUAUUGUGUAAAUGCGCCAUCUGACGUUUCGCUAGUACAUGUGUGGUCUUUGUAAAUAAAUUUAACAGAAAUGAGUCAAAUAAAGCAUUAUUAAAUAUAAGGUACUUUAUUUGUUAUUUCAAUAGCAUUUAUACCGUACAUCAUAAUUCCCGAGAUAUUUCUUCAUCCAAAAUUAUUUCGUAAUUGCGCCAUGUGUACCACGCCUUUCAUAUGAAAAAGUUUUUUUAUGUAUCAUAUUUUCCAAUACGUUUUAUUUUCAUAUCCAUUAUGCAUCUGUUUAUGAAAUAUAUGUCAAAUGACACUCUUGAAAUAUUGAAAUGUAGUGUAUUUUAAUCAUACUUUGUUCAAACUGUUAUGUUAUUACAUGCUCGUUCUUCAGAAAUACCUCUUUCAUUUGUUUAUAUUUGUUUAAUAAAUAAUGUACAUUUCUCAAAUAUCUCUGUCAAUAUGUUAUUUUUGUUAAGAAUGACACUUUAUAAAUGAUUUCAAUGUUUGUUUGUUUAAUCAAUGACACUUGUACCCCGUAAUAGGGCCAUUAACACCUUUUCCCUAUAUGGCUAUAUUGGCUGCGCUACCGCUGCGUUUUCCCUAUAUGUUUAUAUUGGCUGCGUUAAUCGCUGCGUUAUAUACCGACCCCUUAAUUCAUGCUAUAGAAACGAGCUAUUGAAACGAUUACUGUACCAUCAGAUUUUAUCUCAUCAAAUAUAAACAUUUUUUUACCUUUGUCAUCGCUGGAAUGACAUGAAUUCGCAUGGUUUUUUGUUUAAUGUCGUCUUCAAUGAGGUCGUGCAAAUCAAUUAUUUACUGCCUGGAUAACCUGUACUUAACUUUCAUCUCACUAACAUUCAAAUUAUUUAACAAAUCUACUCUAUCGUUAAAAUUACGGGGUUCACGACGUCGGGGAUUUCUUCCGUCGGCCAUAUUUACGUUUUUCAUAACAAACUUACGGAUGCUUUUUUUAACGUAGUUUUACGCAAAAUGUUACGUACGAACUAUUUAGUAAAACGAAGUUACGCUAAAAAAUUGUGCGUACGCAAAAACUUACGAAAAUAUUGGAGUUACGCUUACGUAAGUCCGUUAGUAA